UACGUAGGUGGCGAGCGUUAUCCGGAUUUACUGGGUGUAAAGGGCGCGUAGGCGGGAAUGCAAGUCAGAUGUGAAAUCCAAGGGCUCAACCCUUGAACUGCAUUUGAAACUGUAUUUCUUGAGUGUCGGAGAGGUUGACGGAAUUCCUAGUGUAGCGGUGAAAUGCGUAGAUAUUAGGAGGAACACCAGUGGCGAAGGCGGUCAACUGGACGAUAACUGACGCUGAGGCGCGAAAGCGUGGGGAGCAAACAGG
rnacentral:rRNA from 2 species